rnacentral:tRNA from 3 species
GGGGUCGUAGCUCAGUUGGGAGAGCGCUACAAUGGCAUUGUAGAGGUCAGGGGUUCGAUUCCCCUCGGCUCCACCA